AUUGAACGCUGGCGGCAGGCCUAACACAUGCAAGUCGAACGAGUGGCGGACGGGUGAGUAAUGUCUGGGGAACUGCCCGAUGGAGGGGGAUAACUACUGGAAACGGUAGCUAAUACCGCAUACCAUCGGAUGUGCCCAGAUGGGAUUAGCUAUUAGGUGGGGUAACGGUGCACCUAGGCGACGAUACCUACCGGGUGUGAGAGGAUGACCAACCACACUGGAACUGAGACACGGUCCAGAGUCCGACGGGAGGCAUCAGUGGGGAAUAUUGCACAAUGGGCGCAAGCCGGAUGCCGCCAUGCCGCGUGUAUGAAGAAGGCCUUAGGGUUUUAAAGUACUUUCAGCGAGGAGGCGUUACUCGCAGAAGAAGCACCGGCUAACUCCGUGCCAGCAGCCGCGGUAAUUC
rnacentral:rRNA from 1 species